rnacentral:rRNA from 1 species
AUUGAACGCUGGCGGCAGGCCUAACACAUGCAAGUCGAACGAGUGGCGGACGGGUGAGUAAUGUCUGGGAAACUGCCUGAUGGAGGGGGAUAACUACUGGAAACGGUAGCUACUACCGCAUACCAUCAGAUGUGCCCAGAUGGGAUUAGCUAGGUGGUGGGGUAACGGCUCACCAAGGCGACGAUCCCUAGCUGGUCUGAGAGGAUGACCAGCAACAAUGGAAACGGGACACGGUCCAGAAUCCUACGGGAGGCAGCAGUGGGGAAUAUUGGACAAUGGGCGCAAGCCUGAUGCCGCCAUGCCGCGUGUAUGAAGAAGGCCUUCGGGUGGUAAAGUACUUUCAGCGGGGAGGCGUUACCCGCAGAAGAAGCACCGGCUUACUCCGUGCCAGCCGCCGCGGUAAUAC